rnacentral:lncRNA from 1 species
UUUCAUGAAUGCUCAAAGCAUCAAUGGAAGGGUCGGUACUGCUACCGUUACCACUACCGGUAACUAUUUCAGGCACCCCAUUGAUCACAACAGCAGGUUCACCAGGUAUCUCAUAAACCCCGGUUGCAGAAGGAUUCGAUUCCUGCUUAAUUUCUUUGUCAUUGAUCACAACAGCAGGCUCACCAGGUAUCUCAUAAACCCCGGUUGCAGAAGCAUUCGAUUCCUGCUUAAUUUCUUUGUCUUCUUCCAUUUCAAACCAAAACCUAAAUCCAAAAAAAAAAAAANNNNNNNNNNNNNNNNNNNNNAAAAAAAAGACUCAAUCAAAUAUGAAAUGAUAAUAUGUUAAUCACAUGUCUAAAUUCCACAGCUAACAUGAAAUCAAUCAAGCAAAUCAUAUAAAAUGUUUCGGUGCCUACAAAAUCGACACGAGAUACAUUGAUUUAAGUAAAAUUGAGUUCAAAAUAAAGUGAUUAAUAUAAUAUUCAAUGAUUCUUAAGUCACACUCAAACCUAACAUAAAAUCAAAUUGAAACAUGCAAUUUGAGACAGACCCAAAAUGCAAUUAAACUAAGCUAUUAAGAGACAGACAAAGAUCACAGACAAAUUAAAAAAAACAGUAAUUUACUGUUUUUAUAACUACCAUGUUGCAAAAAUCACUUCUUUUAGGCAAAAAACAAAUCAAAUUGUUACAGUUUAUAACCACUAAUUUUGCCCCUUUUGGGAUUUUUUUCAAUUCUCCAUGAAAAAAUUAAAUCAAAUUAUUAUUUUUAUGGUUGAUGAAAUCAAUGAGAGAGAAAUCAGUAAUGUAAUAUAAU